AUUUCACUAAGACCAAGCUACAGUAUGUGAUUGUAUGUCAUGCCAAAUUCGUAAUUAUUGUUAUCCUCAGCAUCAGUUGGCUGUGACAGCUGGUUUCCAUCUAUCAUUGUUCUACAUCAAUCAUACAUCAUGCAGGAUUAGGUGCUAAUCCCUCACGGAUCACCAUGGAGAAUUGGCCCUUGCUUGAGAGGGAAUGAAGCAUGAAAUCAAAGAAGCCUUUUCUGACCGACUUUGAAUGAUCUAGGGGUAGAGAUUCUCUCUGCCUCUGGAGCUAUGGCUGUCAGAACAAAAGUGAUCCUGUGGCCCAGUGGUGAUGAGACAGAGACGUGUGGUUAGCAGCUGCUCUGCUCUGAGCGCUGGAGGAGGACAUAGAUGAGAGGAGCAGGCCUCUGGCCAGGAGAGCUGCACCAUACCUGGACUCUACCACCUCAGUCUGUAUCCCUGGCUCUCAGUGCUGGAGCACUGAGAACACCACACACACAUGCUCUGUUAGGGAAAAGCUGAGGGAAAGAACAGUGGAGAAAUCAAAGAAGGCAGCAUCUUCGUCUUGAUCACAGUUUGUUGUCAAAUUAAAACCUAAAAGAGACUCAUAACCCCCUAAAUCGUGUCACAAUUCCUGUAUGUGUAAGCAAGUUAUUGAGUUACUCUCUCUGUUAGAAGGCCUUUCUUUCAUUUCUGUCACUGUGUGUAUUUACGUAUUUAUUUUUGUAUAUUUAUAUUUAUAUUCAAAUCUGUAUCUCUAGAACUCAUACAUUAAACAUUAGAAUAACUGUUUACAUUUAUCAGGUCUAAUCUGUGCUAAAUUCGCCUUGCCAUGUGUUUGCAAUAGGACACACAGACACUUAAAGGAAAGGUUCACCCAUUCUGAAUGUUAUAUGUUUUUGUGCUUCUUUGAGAGAUGUUCUUUUGAUUAACUGGGUAGUUUCAUGUUUUCAGAUAUAUCUGAGUUACUGGCAUUCAAGCAGGCAGUGGUAUGAAGUAGCAGUGAUAGUAGUUGAAGUGUACCUAUGGUGAAAAUUACAGGCCUCUCUCAUCUUUUUAAGUGGGAGAACUUGCACAAUUGGUGGCUGACUAAAUACUUUUUUGCCCCACUGUAUAACGCCCCUCCCAGCAGACUUUCGAUCAAUCGCAUUCACAUUGUCAUGCUGUUUCGCGCAGUUGCUAAGCUAAUCGUCAUGCAAUACAUUUUCAAAGUCUGUGUUGAUAUUUCGAGAAACGUGCCUAUUUUCCCCGAAAGUACCUAAUGUCACGAUUCUAAAGCUAUAAGAUACUACAGAUAGCAAGUUAAUAAUCUCACAUCUCGGAAAAUAUUUGUAAUGUUGUACUUCUUGUUUACAGAAUUUUAGCUAAUGUUGGGUUUUUAAGCUAGUGCCCAAUA